rnacentral:misc_RNA from 1 species
AACGCACAUUGCGCCCUUUGGCAUUCCGAAGGGCAUGCCUGUUCGAGCGUCAUUAUCACCCCUCAAGGCCCCCGGGCUUUUGGCGUUGGAGGUCUUGGUCGCGCGCUCGCGACCCCUCCCAAAGACAAUGACGGCGGCUUCGCGGAACCCCCGGUACACUGAGCUCCUUAAUCAGGGCACGUAUCGGAUCUAGGGCGCCCGAGCCACGGUCCUCUCCCCUCGGGGAAACCCAUUUUUCAAGGUUGACCUCGGAUCAGGUAGGAAUACCCGCUGAACUUAA